rnacentral:rRNA from 1 species
GUGGGGAAUAUUGCGCAAUGGGCGAAAGCCUGACGCAGCCACGCCGCGUGAGUGAUGAAGGUUUUCGAAUCGUAAAGCUCUGUCGGGAGGGAAGAAACAAAUGACGGUACCUCCCAAGAAAGCACCGGCUAACUCCGUGCCAGCAGCCGCGGUAAUACGGAGGGUGCAAGCGUUGCUCGGAAUAACUGGGCGUAAAGCGUACGCAGGCGGCUCGUUAAGUCGGGUGUGAAAGCCCAGGGCUCAACCCUGGAACUGCAUUCGAAACUGACGAGCUUGAGUACGGGAGAGGGAAGCGGAAUUCCUGGUGUAGAGGUGAAAUUCGUAGAUAUCAGGAGGAACACCCGUGGCGAAAGCGGCUUCCUGGCCCGAUACUGACGCUCAUGUACGAAAGCGUGGGGAGCAAACAGG